rnacentral:rRNA from 1 species
AUGAAACACUCCUACGGGAGGCAGCAGUGGGGAAUAUUGGACAAUGGGGGGAACCCUGAUCCAGCCAUGCCGCGUGUGUGAAGAAGGCCUUAUGGUUGUAAAGCACUUUAAGCGAGGAGGAGGCUCUUUUGGUUAAUACCCAAGAUGAGUGGACGUUACUCGCAGAAUAAGCACCGGCUAACUCUGUGCCAGCAGCCGCGGUAAUACAGAGGGUGCGAGCGUUAAUCGGAAUUACUGGGCGUAAAGCGUGCGUAGGCGGCUUUUUAAGUCGGAUGUGAAAUCCCCGAGCUUAACUUGGGAAUUGCAUUCGAUACUGGGAAGCUAGAGUAUGGGAGAGGAUGGUAGAAUUCCAGGUGUAGCGGUGAAAUGCGUAGAGAUCUGGAGGAAUACCGAUGGCGAAGGCAGCCAUCUGGCCUAAUACUGACGCUGAGGUACGAAAGCAUGGGGAGCAAACAGGAUUAGAUACCCCAGUAGUCCGAAGUUC